UUUUAUUUUAAUCUCUAGUUUUGUAUUGGUCAGUCUCACCUGUGUGUGAUUGGCAGCAGGUGAGGAAGACACGCCCAGAGGGGGCGGGGAGAAGGGACGUAAACACGGAAGAUCCACCGGUCAGAAAGUUUGGCGUAAUGUCAAGUUGGAUGCGAACCGCGGUAAAACUAAAAGAAGAAGAAGAAGAAGAAGACGGAGGUCGGAAAGUGUCGAAGGAGACGGAGAAAUGUGGCGGGAGGUGGAGAAACUACUUACAUCUUUGUCCUCUUGGUGUCGGCUAACUGGUGUGGAAUGUUUGUUAGCCGCUAAGCUAGCGGGGGGGAUAGAGAUGCUAAGUGCUAAGCUAGGCUGCUAGCUAGGCUGCUAGCUAGCGCCGCAGCGGGACUACGGGAGCCGGCGCGGGAAGAACACGCACCGCGUACAGAGGAGGUGUUACAAGGUCACAUGACUCUUCAGUUCCCGCCUCCUGCUCUCCUUCCUCUGACACCAGCAUCUCUCCAGGACUGAAACGCAGCUGUCGAUGACUGAAAACCGCCGAGACGACGGAGACGUGUCGAGGAGCAGCUGAAGAGGUGUCCACACCUGUCUCGUGUCAGGACUGGAGCCUGAUGCUGACAACACAACAGACAGGAGACCAGGCGAGAUACUUGUGUGCUGCACCUGGACAGGUGACGACACACCUGGACCUGACUCAGGACCUGAGAGACCACAUGACACAGACUGAGGCGACAUCUAGUGAAUCAUGGGAUAUGUUGGAGCAGGAAGGAUCCACCUGUUGGAGCCUCCGCCGUCCAGGAGAAGGAGUGUUUGAAGGAUCGACGGACGAGGAUCCUGAAUCAGGACCCAGCUAACGUGUGGAGACGGGUCAGACUGACAGACUGAAGUCUGACUCACUUUCUGUUUCUUCAAAAUACGAUUAAUAAAGUGU